AAGUCGUAACAAGGUUUCCGUAGGUGAACCUGCGGAAGGAUCAUUGUCAAAGCCUAGAAAGCAAGACCGCGAAUGACUCUAUAAUCGGGGAGGCGUCGAGAGGCCCCUCGGGCUCCUAAACGCAACCUCGUUCGGCUGGCGAGAAGGCUUUCGCCUAUCGUCCGCCGAAACUAACGAACCCCGGCGCGGAUAGCGCCAAGGAAUCAAAACGAACGGGACCCGGCCCUCCAACCCGUUGAUCGGGCUUAGAGGGCCGUGUCUAUUCAGAAAAUUUCAUAACGACUCUCGGCAACGGAUAUCUCGGCUCUCGCAUCGAUGAAGAACGUAGCAAAAUGCGAUACUUGGUGUGAAUUGCAGAAUCCCGUGAAUCAUCGAGUCUUUGAACGCAAGUUGCGCCCGAAGCCUUUAGGCCGAGGGCACGUCUGCCUGGGCGUCAUGCACUGCGAUGCCCCCAAAUAAGCAUGCGGGGCGAAACCUGGCCUCCCGUUAGCCCAACUCGCGGAUGGCUUAAAAAAAAAGCCUCGGGACGGAAGAUCGUCGCGACAAGUGGUGGUUAAGAGGACUUCGGCCUCCAAACUUAGCAUGUCGUAGCCCCUCCGCUCCAGUGCUCGACAAAAGACCUAAUCGGAGCGCACCUUUACGCUUCCAGCAUCGUGACCCCAGGUCAGGCGGGACUACCCGCUGAGUUUAA
rnacentral:rRNA from 1 species